CCUAGUAGGGCUGCUGAGGUGAU
rnacentral:miRNA from 1 species